rnacentral:misc_RNA from 1 species
CCGAGGUGUUGAAUUCCAUUCUAACACGCACGAAAUGAGCAUACUCGUUAAUGCUUACAUGUGGCCGAGGUCUUUGGUGGAGCAGUAUGGACGAUGGCGGUGAUCACGUCGCCCUUAAUGAUCGCAACUCCCGUGCAAUGGCAACACCAUCGUGUUCGGCAGCUUUUUUAUCAGCGGUAGCGGAGCAAAAAGGCGGCUUUCGACGGUCACACAUUUUGAAGGAGGGAGUUAUCCCUUCUCAAUGACUCUGCGUUUCAAGGCGUAAUCGUAGGAGGCUGAUGUUUGGAGUGUGGGCUCUGGGGAAUGAAUGUAAUUAUGGAGUGAGUGCGGAGUUCCUUCAUUAGGAAGGCCCCGCCUUUUGUUUUGGAUAGAAAGGAGGUUCUUAAUGCAACACGAGUUGGCUGCCACUGUCUCAUGCUGGUAGAAAUACUUGUCCUUCGGUGGGGGGCAGCCCCGCGCACACAGCACAGAAGGCAUAAGAUGCAUUUUAUUUAUGGCGAAGAUUGCUUCACACGGUCGUGAUCUAACUCUUUGGAGCUCCACCUUGCCUUACUGAGUGCGCCGGCCAACUUUCAGCUGAUCCUGUAGACCGCCAAUGUUUUUUGGAAGUGUGUAACGCGGGUGGAAAGAAGCAGGUGAUCUAUUUAAGGCGAUUGUUUGCCGAGAAUCUGCCGACUACUACCGUGUUAGCCGCUGCAGGUCGUGUUCGCGAAACGCUGUCGAGCUUCGGAGGGCAGACAUUAUCGGCGAUAGAUCGCUUUCGUCGUUCUUUGUCGCGUGUACUUCAACCUUGUGAUUAGCGCGGGCGGUGUGUAGUCGGCGGGGAGUGGGGGAUCGAGGGGUGUUUCUUGCGGCACAGGGAAUGGUGGAGCUGUCACUAUUCGGAGUGCUGUUGUGUCAGUAGAGAGUUUUUGAAGGUAUGUUUGAGAAAGACAAACUGGCACUCGUUGGUGACGGUCAACCGCGUUUGUCGUCUGUCUUCCGUUCCUUGCAUUAGAUAGCGCAAGGAUGGCGAGAAGUGAGGUUCAGGGGGAUCUUUUUAUGUGGAGGAGGUUCUGUGUUCUGUCAGAAAACUACAACAUGGCGGAAAGCAAGUGGUGAUGGGGUGUCUGCAGUGCGAUGAGGCGUAGCAUAAAUCUGAUGGAAGACGAGAUGAAGCGAAAAAGGCAUCCCAUUCGCCCAUCGACACUGUAUAUUUUAUGUGGACGUUAAGCAUACGAAUUGUCGUAGUGAAUUGAUUUAUAUCUGCAUAGGAAGGCUUUCUUUGCAGGAGUUCCCAUGCUGGCGCUCAUGCCGUCAACCUUUAUACGGCUGCCAUUUCGACUCGGCCACGGUAAAUGCUGCUGGCCAUUUUUUUUUGCGGGUACCCCCCCCCAAACACACACACAGAUCCUUUUUUUUCUUUCCCCUCUCUCAAACAUUUUCUGCCUGUCUGCGGUUCUCUAAAAUUGUCUCGAGCAGAAGGAGGGAGGGAUCUUGGUGAAAGUGUAUGUUUCUGAGAAAUGGCGGAGAAUUCAACUACUGAGAACUGGGCUAUCCCUUGGAGAGCAUAUUGUGGAUGUGCAAGAACGGUGUCAUGUUGUUCCCGGCCAGGUGAGCUUUGAAGAGAGAAAGGUAUGUUCCAGUGGCUCCCUAGCCUUUGACGCUCUUUUCUGCUGUUGUGUAAAGUGUAGUGUGCCCUGUUGAUCACUACCAUGAAACAACUGAUAGGUGCUUUGGUUUCGGACAGACGUGUCGCCGCACAGCGCUGAUAAUUCCGGAUAAGCGUGAAGCAGGGACGCCGGGGCAUGGUGGAAGGUGCAGCACGAGGGUGAUGCUUCCUCUUCCUCUAAGCACUUCAUUUUCUUCCGCUUUCUUCUUCACCCUCUCUUAUUAUGAUAUUCGCAUCGAGUAG